rnacentral:rRNA from 1 species
CCUACGGGCGGCAGCAGUGGGGAAUAUUGGACAAUGGGCGAAAGCCUGAUCCAGCCAUGCCGCGUGUGUGAAGAAGGCCUUCGGGUUGUAAAGCACUUUCAGUGGGGAAGAAAGCCUUGGGGCUAAUACCCUCGAGGAAGGACAUCACCCACAGAAGAAGCACCGGCUAACUCCGUGCCAGCAGCCGCGGUAAUACGGAGGGUGCGAGCGUUAAUCGGAAUUACUGGGCGUAAAGCGCGCGUAGGCGGUCUGAUAAGCCGGUUGUGAAAGCCCCGGGCUCAACCUGGGAACGGCAUCCGGAACUGUCAGGCUAGAGUGCAGGAGAGGAGGGUAGAAUUCCCGGUGUAGCGGUGAAAUGCGUAGAGAUCGGGAGGAAUACCAGGGGCGAAGGCGGCCUUCUGGACUGACACUGACGCUGAGGUGCGAAAGCGUGGGUAGCAAACAGGAUUAGAUACCCCGGUAGUC